GCAGGUAUAGCUCAAUGGUAGAGUGCCUGCUCACCAUAUAUGAGGUCCUGGGUUCAAUCCCCAGUACCUCCA
rnacentral:tRNA from 1 species